CCACAAAGUUUGACUGCCAGGAGCU
rnacentral:piRNA from 2 species